rnacentral:rRNA from 1 species
AUACGGAGGAUGCGAGUGUUAUCCGGAUUCAUUGGGUUUAAAGGGUGCGCAGGCGGGGGAAUAAGUCAGUGGUGAAAAGCUGCCGCUUAACGGUAGUCUUGCCAAUGAUACUGUUUUUCUUGAGUAUGGUUAAGGUAUGCGGAAUGUGCAGUGUAGCGGUGAAAUGCAUAGAUAUUGCACAGAACGUCGAUUGCGGAGGCAGCAUACUGAACCAAUACUGACGCUGAGGCACGAAAGCGUGGGGAGCGAACAGGAUUAGAUACCCUGGUAGUCCACGCUGUAAACGAUGUUCACUCGCUGUUUGCGAUAUACAGUAAGCGGCUAAGCGAAAGCAUUAAGUGAACCACCUGGGGAGUACGAUCGCAAGUUUGAA